rnacentral:pre_miRNA from 1 species
AGGAACAACGGCAGUGGCGGGGCCAGCUCUGCAGCCCUGGAGUCAGCUCCCGCAGUAGCUCCAGAGCUCUCCGUCUGCAGGGCCUGGAGGCUCCGGGGCGGG